CAUAGGUUAAUGAGGCGAACCGGGGGAACUGAAACAUCUAAGUACCCCGAGGAAAAGAAAUCAACCGAGAUUCCCCCAGUAGCGGCGAGCGAACGGGGAGCAGCCCAGAGCCUGAAUCAGUGUGUGUGUUAGUGGAAGCGUCUGGAAAGGCGCGCGAUACAGGGUGACAGCCCCGUACACAAAAAUGCACAUGCUGUGAGCUCGAUGAGUAGGGCGGGACACGUGGUAUCCUGUCUGAAUAUGGGGGGACCAUCCUCCAAGGCUAAAUACUCCUGACUGACCGAUAGUGAACCAGUACCGUGAGGGAAAGGCGAAAAGAACCCCGGCGAGGGGAGUGAAAAAGAACCUGAAACCGUGUACGUACAAGCAGUGGGAGCACGCUUAGGCGUGUGACUGCGUACCUUUUGUAUAAUGGGUCAGCGACUUAUAUUCUGUAGCAAGGUUAACCGAAUAGGGGAGCCGAAGGGAAACCGAGUCUUAACUGGGCGUUAAGUUGCAGGGUAUAGACCCGAAACCCGGUGAUCUAGCCAUGGGCAGGUUGAAGGUUGGGUAACACUAACUGGAGGACCGAACCGACUAAUGUUGAAAAAUUAGCGGAUGACUUGUGGCUGGGGGUGAAAGGCCAAUCAAACCGGGAGAUAGCUGGUUCUCCCCGAAAGCUAUUUAGGUAGCGCCUCGUGAAUUCAUCUCCGGGGGUAGAGCACUGUUUCGGCAAGGGGGUCAUCCCGACUUACCAACCCGAUGCAAACUGCGAAUACCGGAGAAUGUUAUCACGGGAGACACACGGCGGGUGCUAACGUCCGUCGUGAAGAGGGAAACAACCCAGACCGCCAGCUAAGGUCCCAAAGUCAUGGUUAAGUGGGAAACGAUGUGGGAAGGCCCAGACAGCCAGGAUGUUGGCUUAGAAGCAGCCAUCAUUUAAAGAAAGCGUAAUAGCUCACUGGUCGAGUCGGCCUGCGCGGAAGAUGUAACGGGGCUAAACCAUGCACCGAAGCUGCGGCAGCGACGCUUAUGCGUUGUUGGGUAGGGGAGCGUUCUGUAAGCCUGUGAAGGUGUGCUGUGAGGCAUGCUGGAGGUAUCAGAAGUGCGAAUGCUGACAUAAGUAACGAUAAAGCGGGUGAAAAGCCCGCUCGCCGGAAGACCAAGGGUUCCUGUCCAACGUUAAUCGGGGCAGGGUGAGUCGACCCCUAAGGCGAGGCCGAAAGGCGUAGUCGAUGGGAAACAGGUUAAUAUUCCUGUACUUGGUGUUACUGCGAAGGGGGGACGGAGAAGGCUAUGUUGGCCGGGCGACGGUUGUCCCGGUUUAAGCGUGUAGGCUGGUUUUCCAGGCAAAUCCGGAAAAUCAAGGCUGAGGCGUGAUGACGAGGCACUACGGUGCUGAAGCAACAAAUGCCCUGCUUCCAGGAAAAGCCUCUAAGCAUCAGGUAACAUCAAAUCGUACCCCAAACCGACACAGGUGGUCAGGUAGAGAAUACCAAGGCGCUUGAGAGAACUCGGGUGAAGGAACUAGGCAAAAUGGUGCCGUAACUUCGGGAGAAGGCACGCUGAUAUGUAGGUGAAGUCCCUCGCGGAUGGAGCUGAAAUCAGUCGAAGAUACCAGCUGGCUGCAACUGUUUAUUAAAAACACAGCACUGUGCAAACACGAAAGUGGACGUAUACGGUGUGACGCCUGCCCGGUGCCGGAAGGUUAAUUGAUGGGGUCAGCGCAAGCGAAGCUCUUGAUCGAAGCCCCGGUAAACGGCGGCCGUAACUAUAACGGUCCUAAGGUAGCGAAAUUCCUUGUCGGGUAAGUUCCGACCUGCACGAAUGGCGUAAUGAUGGCCAGGCUGUCUCCACCCGAGACUCAGUGAAAUUGAACUCGCUGUGAAGAUGCAGUGUACCCGCGGCAAGACGGAAAGACCCCGUGAACCUUUACUAUAGCUUGACACUGAACAUUGAGCCUUGAUGUGUAGGAUAGGUGGGAGGCUUUGAAGUGUGGACGCCAGUCUGCAUGGAGCCGACCUUGAAAUACCACCCUUUAAUGUUU
rnacentral:rRNA from 1 species